rnacentral:rRNA from 1 species
UACAGAGGGUGCAAGCGUUAAUCGGAAUUACUGGGCGUAAAGCGUGCGUAGACGGUUUGCGUAAGUCAGAUGUGGAAAGCCCCGGGCUCAACCUGGGAAAUUGCAUUUGAGACUGCGUAGCUAGGGUGCGGAAGAGGGAAGCGGAAUUUCCGGUGUAGCGGUGAAAUGCGUAGAUAUCGGAAGGAACACCGGUGGCGAAGGCGGCGCUCUGGACCGAGACUGACGCUGAGGCGCGAAAAGCGUGGGGGAGCAAACAGG